rnacentral:rRNA from 1 species
GACGAACGCUGGCGGCGUGCCUAAUACGUGCAAGUCGAGCGAAUCACGAGGUGCUUGCGCCUCUUGGUUAGCGGCGGACGGGUGAGUAACACGUGGGCAACCUGCCUGUAAGACUGGGAUAACUUCGGGAAACCGGAGCUAAUACCGGAUAAUCCUUUUCCUCUCAUGAGGAAAAGCUGAAAGUCGGUUUCGGCUGACACUUACGGAUGGGCCCGCGGCGCAUUAGCUAGUUGGUGAGGUAACGGCUCACCAAGGCGACGAUGCGUAGCCGACCGGAGAGGGUGAUCGGCCACACUGGGACUGAGACACGGCCCAGACUCCUACGGGAGGCAGCAGUAGGGAAUCUUCCGCAAUGGACGAAAGUCUGACGGAGCAACGCCGCGUGAGCGAUGAGGCCUUCGGGUCGUAAAGCUCUGUUGUUAGGGAAGAACAAGUAUCGGAGUAACUGCCGGUACCUUGACGGUACCUAACCAGAAAGCCACGGCUAACCACGUGCCAGCCGCCGCCGUAA